AUUACUGUUACAUUUAUUUAUAUUUACUAAAAGUAAAUAUAUGCUCACAUAUCAGUAAGUAUUGUACAGCCCUAAAUUAUAUUUAAUACACCCAUCUAGGCAGUUAAUUCAUAUAUGUGCUGGCUUUAAUUUACAUUCAUGUUAUUAUCACCCUGCAAUAGGCGGAGGGAUAUUGUUUUGGCCUUGUCCGCCCGUCUUUCCGUCCAUCCGGCACUUUUGUGUUGGGAGCCAUAUCUUGGAAGUGCUUUGGUGGAUUUCAUUGAAACUUGGUAUGAGUAUAUGUAUAGAUAAGAGGAUGAUGCAUGCCAAAUGGCAUUGUACACUAUCUGUUAAUAACGGAGUUAUGGCCCUUCGAACCUAAAAAAAUGCUUUUUUACCUGAGUGUCAAAUAUAACACUUUUGUGUCCAGAAGCUAAUUAGCGGGGGAUAUCAAUUCAAUGAAUUUGCUUGUUAUUAAUUGAAGGGAAAUAAACCUGUUAUUUUGUCUGUCAUUAUGGUGUUUAAAGUCACAUUUAAUGGCAUCCAACCUACUUUAUUUCAAAUACAGUAACACCUGGCGCCGUGACCUGGAUGCAGAUUCUAAGCAGAUGGGCCAAAAUGGGGGCAGCUAGAGAGACUCGCCUGGAACUGACAAGCCUGGAGGGAGCUGGUUGACUGUUGGCGAGAUGGGACAACAGACGAAGAAUAAACGAACCUACUUGAUUUGAUAAACAUUUUUAUGUUUUUCAGUUUCGUCGGAAGACAUUUCCCACCAACCAUCCUGUCUUGAAAGAAAUAACUUUUGAACCCGAUUAUCUGAUAUUUUCCAGUUUCCCCUCACAACAAUUUGCAUCAAACCUCUUGUCUGCUCCUCAGCUGAAAUCAUCAUCUAGCAGUCACAAUAGUUGAGCGGUUGGAGAGGCAUGCAUUGCGUCCUACUACUGCUCAGACUAUAUUAUGUUUGGCAGACAAAACAUGCUGAUCAAAAAGAAUGUGUACCACAGGGGCCAGUGUUUCCAUUUGAGUGAUUGACAAGAAGAAGAAGAGAUGAGAAAUGUUAUCAUCAUAUUUUAGUCCCUACAUUUAUAGUGUACAGCUCAAUGUAUUGAACCGGUGUUGUAGAAAAUAAUUGGAGAUACAUG